AUACUACUCCCUCCGUCCCAAAAUUCUUGUCUUAAAUUUAUCUAGAUAUGAAUGUAUCUAGUUACAUUUUAGCAUUUAGACACAUUCAUUUAUAAAUAAACCUAAGACAAGAAUUUUGGGACGGAGAGAGUACUAC
rfam:Hordeum vulgare subsp. vulgare, WGS project CAJW01000000 data, contig: morex_contig_1560609